rnacentral:rRNA from 1 species
AGAGACGCUGUUCUCAGAUGAAACAUGCAAGUCGAACGGAUAAGCCCCUUCUGCUGUACUCUAGUGGCGAACAGGUGAGAAACACGUGGGCAACCUGCCCCUAGCUCUGGGAUAACACUUGGAAACAGGUGCUAAUACCGGAUGACAACCUUUCACGGAAUCGCGGUUGGCUCAAAGUUUUUCGGCUAGGGAUGGGCCCGCGGCCUAUCAGCUUGUUGGUGGGGUAACGGCCUACCAAGGCGACGACCGGUAGCCGGCCUGAGAGGACGACCGGCCACACUGGAACUGAGACACGGCCCAGACUCCUACGGGAGGCAGCAGUGGGGAAUAUUGCACAAUGGGCGAAAGCCUGACGCAGCAACGCCGCGUGAGGGAUGAAGGCCUUCGGAUUGUAAACCUCUUUCAGCUGGAACGAAUGCAAACGGUACCUGCCCAAGAUGCACCGGCUAACUACAUGCCAUCAGCCGCGGUUAUACUUAGGGCGCAAGCGUUGUCCGGAUUUAUGGGGCGUAAAGAGCUCGUAAGCAGUCUGUCUCGUCCAAUGUGAAAACCCUGGGCUCAACUCCAGGGCUGCAUUCGAUACU